rnacentral:rRNA from 1 species
AGCGAACGCUGGCGGCAGGCCUAACACAUGCAAGUCGAACGAACCCUUCGGGGUUAGUGGCGGACGGGUGAGUAACACGUGGGAACGUGCCUUUAGGUUCGGAAUAACUCAGGGAAACUUGUGCUAAUACCGAAUGUGCCCUUCGGGGGAAAGAUUUAUCGCCUUUAGAGCGGCCCGCGUCUGAUUAGCUAGUUGGUGAGGUAAUGGCUCACCAAGGCUACGAUCAGUAGCGGGUCUGAGAGGAUGACCAGCCACAUUGGGACUGAGACACGGCCCAAACUCCUACGGGAGGCAGCAGUGGGGAAUCUUGCGCGAUGGGCGAAAGCCUGACGCAGCCAUGCCGCGUGGAUGAUGAAGGUCUUAGGAUUGUAAAAUCCUUUCACCGGUGAAGAUAAUGACUGUAGCCGGAGAAGAAGCCCCGGCUAACUUCGUGCCAGCCGCCGCAGUAAUAC